rnacentral:rRNA from 1 species
UGAGGAAUAUUGGUCAAUGGACGGAAGUCUGAACCAGCCAUGCCGCGUGCAGGAUGACGGCUCUAUGAGUUGUAAACUGCUUUUGUACGAGGGUAACCCCGGGUACGUGUACCCGGCUGAAAGUAUCGUACGAAUAAGGAUCGGCUAACUCCGUGCCAGCAGCCGCGGUAAUACGGAGGAUCCAAGCGUUAUCCGGAUUUAUUGGGUUUAAAGGGUGCGUAGGCGGUUAGAUAAGUUAGAGGUGAAAUUCCGGUGCUUAACACCGGCGAUGCCUCUAAUACUGUUUGAGUAGAGAGUAGUUGCGGUAGGCGGAAUGUAUGGUGUAGCGGUGAAAUGCUUAGAGAUCAUACAGAACACCGAUUGCGAAGGCAGCUUACCAAGCUAUAUCUGACGUUGAGGCACGAAAGCGUGGGGAGCAAACAGG